rfam:Paenibacillus polymyxa SC2 plasmid pSC2, complete sequence.
CGGCUCGUAGCUCAGUAGGUAGAGCUUUGGUUUGAAGUACCAAGAGUCGGGGGUUCAAAUCCCUCAGAGCCGA